rnacentral:lncRNA from 1 species
ACGGUCAACGGCUCCUGUUUGACCGGAUCGGCGCGGAUCAUCGCGGAUCGGCUCAGUCCGGCGCGGGUGGGCGCGGCUCGGCUCGGCGCGGGUGGCAGGCGCGUGACCACGGAUCGGCUGGGGCGAGUGGCGCGCGUGGCUGCGAGUUGCCGCCACUCGCCCAGCUGUGAAGGGCGCGUGCGGGCGCGUGUGUUGUCUGGCUGAGAGUUGCCGCCACUCGCC